ACUUAUUAACUAUAAAAAUAUUUAAACACUAUUUUCUAUGAGCUUUACUUUUUACAAUACAACGAUUGUUUCGUAUUAUUUAUCUUGGUAUCAGAGUAGGUCCUUAAUUCGAGUCACGUCAGACUCCUAAUAUUAUUAAUUUUUUUGUAUUUAAUUUAACUCCAUAUUAUGGGCCUUGUAAAAAAGUCUCGAACUCAAAUAUGAGAGAAGUGUUAACUAUAAAAAUAUUUAAAUAUUGUUCUCUAUAAACUUUAAGUUUUUUAGAGUAUAAUAGUUAUUUUGUAUUAUUUAAUAGAACUAAAUACAAAAAAUGACAAGAACUAAAAU
rnacentral:lncRNA from 1 species